GAUGAACGCUAGCGGGAGGCCUAACACAUGCAAGCCGAGCGGUAUUGUUUCUUCGGAAAUGAGAGAGCGGCGUACGGGUGCGUAACACGUGUGCAACCUGCCUUUAUCUGGGGGAUAGCCUUUCGAAAGGAAGAUUAAUACUCCAUAAUAUAUUGAACGGCAUCGUUUAAUAUUGAAAGCUCCGGCGGAUAGAGAUGGGCACGCGCAAGAUUAGCUAGUUGGUGAGGUAACGGCUCACCAAGGCGAUGAUCUUUAGGGGGCCUGAGAGGGUGAUCCCCCACACUGGUACUGAGACACGGACCAGACUCCUACGGGAGGCAGCAGUGAGGGAUAUUGGCCAAUGGGUGCAAGCCUGAACCAGCCAUCCCGCGUGAAGGACGACUGCCCUAUGGGUUGUAAACUUCUUUUGUAUAGGGAUAAACCUACCCUCGAGAGGGUAGCUGAAGGUACUAUACGAAUAAGCACCGGCUAACUCCGUG
rnacentral:rRNA from 1 species